CCGCACGUCGCGUGGUGUC
rnacentral:sRNA from 1 species